GGAAUUGACGGGGCCGCACAAGCGGUGGAGCAUGUGGUUAAUUCGAAGCAACGCGAAGAACCUUACCAGGUCUUGACAUCCCCUGACAACCCAAGAGAUUGGGCGUUCCCCUUCGGGGGACAGGGUGACAGGUGGUGCAUGGUUGUCGUCAGCUCGUGUCGUGAGAUGUUGGGUUAAGUCCCGCAACGGGCGCAACCCUCGCCUCUAGUUGCCAGCAUUCGGUUGGGCACUCUAGAGGGACUGCCGGCGACAAGUCGGAGGAAGGUGGGGAUGACGUCAAAUCAUCAUGCCCCUUAUGACCUGGGCUACACACGUGCUACAAUGGGCGGUACAAAGGGCUGCGAACCCGCGAGGGGGAGCGAAUCCCAAAAAGCCGCUCUCAGUUCGGAUUGCAGGCUGCAACUCGCCUGCAUGAAGCCGGAAUCGCUAGUAAUCGCGGAUCAGCAUGCCGCGGUGAAUACGUUCCCGGGCCUU
rnacentral:rRNA from 1 species